ensembl:lncRNA
GUUCCUAGAGUCCUAAAGACAGCAGGCUUCAGGGCUGCAUGACCUGUACAAUUGUACCCGGCCCUCCUCUUACAAGGGGCCACUUUGGGUGAGAUGAUUAGCUGUCACUGCUUUGAAACUCUUUAUCAUUUUUACACAAGUUUCCUUGAAUUUUCAUGUGGCAUGAGGCCUAGUAAGUCACGUAGCAGAAUCCUACCUGUACGAUUUGGGCGUGAUAAGAUUUUAUACAUGGGCUAGAAACCUCAAACUUUAGGCCUGAGCUCAAAUGAUCCCAAUGGUUUAUGGAAAACAGGCUCAGAAAUAUGAAUGGAAAUCUUUAGUACCAGGCUUGGGGAGGAGACCGCCAGGCCGGAAGGUGUGUGCUUAGAGAGGAUCUCAAUACUGGGAUUGUCUUCUAAAUGUUGUCACUUUCAUUUGCAAAUGACUAAACACCCUGCUGUCCCAAGCUGCUGGGGAUCCUUCCCUAGUGUUCCUUUUUAAGUUUUAAAAUGAAGCAAGCAUGCUGAGCUUUUUAACUGCUCAAAGGGAUCCCUAUAUUCUUUAGAGCAAUGUGUGUGCUACUAUUAGGGCUUCCACAGCACAUUUAUUUCCAUGAAUAAAUGCAUUUCGUAAUAAGCCACAAAAGAGAACAACUCACCAGUUGAACAGUAAGCCUGGGCCGAAAAGUACAUGGUCACUUCCUAUGCCUAUGGUAAAAGAAAACUUGUGGUUAAUAUUGCUUUCUUCCUUUGGAAUUAUCACAGGCAUCCUCUGUAGUUUGCAGACCUUUCUCUGGUUAUUUAUUUUAAUUGCAGUCGAAAGCUCCUUUUAACAGGAAGAAACAUUGUAGCAGUCACAGUAGUGGUUAAAAUCUAGUUUUUUAUACGCUGUCCACCUCUGCCCAAUUUAUAAUACAGCUCACCCUGCAGCUUGGCAUAGGAACUUCAAACUUUGGACACAGCUGGUUAAGCCACAGCCUAAGUUCAUGGCACAGGCACAGCUAGGAGUGUGGAGGGCCGAUGGACCUAAGGCAGGUGGGGAUCGUCACCGUGCAGUUAGUAGGGAAGUACUUAGUGAUGUGCAUCUUGGAUCUUGAUCCUCUGUAUGCACCAAUUCCCCAGGAUGAAUGUAUUUAUUAUGUGUUAUAAGCAUAUACUCAAAUUUUAGUAAGUAAUAUGAAAGAGGGAAAAAUGACCCGGUAUGUUUCAGAAAAAUAAAACAUUUUUCAAAUUGCAAAAAGAAAAGAACUUAAGGAUGUCUUUCUCCAAGGCAACCUGAACUCAGUGGUCUGCAUGUGUCUAGAGAAGAAUUGACUUUAGUUUGAGGUCAUACACAAAACACACACUUAAGUGAGUUUUAAAGAGUAUCUCAUUUUCUCUUAUUUAUAUCUGUGUGAACAGAGGCCCAGCUGUGCGGUCCUCGCGGGUCGUAGAAGAAUUGCACCAAACAAGGUCCUCACUCAAAGGAGUUAGUGUCCUUAUUCUUUCCUGUGUUUUCUUUGGCUUAUCAGUUUCCUUCUCUUCUGCUUUUUUCCCUUUUUUCUUCAACAGAGAAUAAGAAACACUUGAAGUGUUUAUUACAGGCACACUCCAUGACCCCAAUUCAGAGAUUCUGUGUCAAUUUUUCUAAGAGGAAAACAUUGGACUC